ensembl:lncRNA
AUGUUGGUAACCAGCUGGUUGAAAAUACUGUAUCACAUCUUCAGGGACAUCUGCAGAAUAAACAAAGCCUUAAAAUCAAAGGACAUUGUGGAAGAAUUUCGAGAAGGAAAGGUCUGGAGAAUGCAACUAAGAUGGGAGCUAGAGAAAGACCAGGCUUCAGCUGGGGAAAAGAGCAUUGAUUGAAAUCCCUAUGACCAGAACACAACAGGUGCUUUUUCCAAUGGAGCAUAUUAUUCUGCUUUGAAGUCCUCCAGGGAUAUUCUAUUGCUACCUGGGAAAUGGAAGUUACAUCAUGGUGUACGAGUUUGGUCUGAAUAAAAAGAAUUCAAUAGACAAUUUUAUGAAUCUCUUUUAACUUCUCGAUGAAAGACAAUACGUUUUUAGCACUAAUAUAACAGAAUGAAGAGAAAUGAUAUACAUAAGGUUUAUAACUGAUGCAUUACCUGUGUCUUUUAUCAUCCUUAUGCUGCCACAGCUUUAAUUGCACAAUUCAGACAAUGCUUUCUGCCAAGCUUUAUUGCUAUUCUUCUUAGUAAAAUUUAUCCAAACUAAAUUGUUACGAAUAUAGUCAAUAACAUUUGCUUCUACUGUAAUGAAUAUAUUCACAUCGAUUAAAGGGGAUCAUGUUAAUUGACUGAACAGAGUGACAGCACUUGGUGAUGUGGUACACUUUAAUUUGCUACAGUCAUAAAGCACAGCAAGAGUGAUAAACUUUAUAGGCUAGAUUAUUUGCACAUGCAAUUUCUGCAUUUUGAUGAAUUUUUAGGCAAACUUCUUUCCUUAUAGUCUUAAAGCAAUCACUAAUAAUCUAAACAGAGAACUGCAGCUUGGGGACUUUCAAUCUAUUGUGUAAACUUGGCAAUGUUAUUCUGCCGUCUGGAGAGCUGUCAAAUGCAAAGUGUUCCAGUGGCCAUUUCUCAUCUGGGUUAAUAAAAUGUGUUUCUUGGCUGAAGAAGUUCUUCUGUGGAGUUGAAUUGUCUCUUACAGUUCCAGAGUGUUUCGAAACUCCUGAUAAUUAAAACAGAAAAGUACACAACCUUUAUUUUCAGUAUCAAAUGUAGGUGUGAUUAACAGUUUAGCUGAGAUCAUGGUGUUGACAAAUCCAUAAGGAGAAGUCAUAUGGCAUCGCAUAUCCUCUGAUUAGUUUUGCAGCUGACAAACCCAGCUUGGGACAUAUAUAGACAUAUCAGUUUUCUAAUAACUGUAUAUAUGAAUAUACUUGUGAACUUGACCCAUCUUUAUUUUUGUCUACCCAAGUGCAAUGGGUAAUAUUACAAUAUCUGCCGAUGCAUGCCUGUUGCAGUAUAUUCCAGCACGAGCUGUCACUCCAAUAAACAUUAAUGACAGGAAAUGCAUCAAUCAUUCACAUACUCCUACUUCUCUUUCAUAUUGAACACGGUAACCUCCAGCAGCAAAGACAAGCACAGAGUAUCUCAAAGGACAUAUUAGUCUACUUCAUGUGGUGUUGAAUAUCUCAGCAGUCAGGAAUAAACAGAAGCGCUUGUGCACUUGGAAAAGUGGAAGAGUGUGUCCUGGAGCAAAAGCUGGCCUCGGGGUUGAAAACUGAAGUUCAUGAGCUGUAUUUGAAAUAAAAAGGGAACCGAGCUGGGUCGAGGUCUAAUGUGAAAAUAUUGUGCGGAAUAUCUGGUGUGCAAAGAAUAUAUUUUUAAUAGUAAAAGGCCCUGUGCUAACUAAUUAUGAAGAUUAUAUGCUGUAGAAUUUUGUUGAAUGACUCAAGGUGUGUAAAGCAAUAUUUUGUUUUGCUGGGUGAUACAACUGUAGUCCGUGAUUGUUAAGCAUCAAACAAUAGAAAGUUCACAAACAAGGCACAGAUUGAUGCAGGAGAUUCAGAAAAAUAGAAACUAAAAUGACGAUGAUGUGCUGACUAUAAUGGAUCCGAUAGUAAUGUUGCACCACACAAGUGUGAGUAACUGUUUUUAUUACCUGAUUUCCUAUUUCUUUGUCUGUUACAGAUUGUUUGAUGUAUUGAGCAUUUAUGGGUUUUAACCCACAGUAGCGUUCAUCUAUAAAUACCAGUGGGCAUUUACUGUUGAGUUAAAAAGCUAGUUCAUGACACUUUAAAGGGAUAGUUUAAAAUCAAAAUUUUAUGUUUAAAGGUGCCAUAAGCAAAAAUUGAGGUAAAAAUAUCCAUAACAUGACCUACACGCAUCAAAAGAAUGAGAAGAAAUAAGGGUGAUGAUGUCAUUAAAAAAAUAAAAAGAAUACAAAAUAAAAAAGAAGUACUAAAGUAUUCAAAAAUUUUUGUACUUAAGUAUUGCAAGUAGUCUAUUUUAAAAUGUACUACUCAAGUACUGAAAGUAAAAGUAGAAGUAUUGUGUUAUGUAGCUAUUAUAGAAAGUAGUCAAAAGUUUGAACAUAUUGUUUUUACUAUUUCAAAUGAUUAACCUAAAGGACAAUCACAAUUCCUUUGACUGUAACUUCUUGUAAACAAAAAACGGUUACUAGGGUCAGUUAGCCCAAUUUGCAAAAUUAUGCCAUUAAUAACUUACCCUCAUGUUGUUUCAAACCCGUAAGACACCAGAGGGUCAUUUAGAAUUUUUUGAAACAUGGAAAAUACAUUUUGGUCCAAAAAUAGCAAAAACUACGACUUUAUUCAGCAUUGUCUUCUCUUUUAAACUGUUCGCGUCUCCAAUACGCAUUAAUCCACAGAUGAAUUAAGCUGUUAACUUGUUUAAUGUGUCUGACACUCCCUCUGAGUUAAAACAAACCAAUAUCCCGGAGUAAUUCAUUGACUCAAACAGUACACUGACUGAACUGAUGAAGAGAGAACUGAAGAUGAACACCGAGCCGAGCCAGAUAAUGACUCGUUCACGAGUCAAGAACCGUUUCUGUCAGACGCGUCCGAUUCGUGAACCGAGGAGCUGAUGAUACUGCGCAUGUGUGAUUUAGCGUGAAGCAAACCAACACACAGAGCAUCUGAAACAAACUGAUUCUUCUGGUGAUUGAUUCUGAACUAAUUCUGUGUUAAUGUUAUGACGCCAUUGCGUCGAGCGCAAAAGAAUCGGUGAACUGUUUUCUUCAACUGGUUUAUUGAAUCGAACUGUCAGAAAUAACUAACGUUACUGGUCAUCCGAGAACCGAUGCAACCGGUUCUUGACUCGUGAACGAGUCAUUAUGUGGCUCGGCUCAGUGUUAAUCUCUCUCUUCACAGCAGUUCAGUCAGCACGCGCAGUCUUCUUAAUCGCUUGUUUCGCUCAAUGAUGUGCUAGCUUCAUCAAAACUGCCAUCCACAGUUCUGGCAGUGGUUUGUAAUGGAAUGAUUCGUAACAUUAUUAUAAUUGUAACGAGUAACGAUGCAGCACAUAAAAAAAAUAUCGGAGUAAAAGUAAAUAUGCGAAAAUAUGUUCUGAAGUAAAAGUGGAAGUAGGAGAAAAAAAUAAUACUCUAGUAAAGUACAGAUACCACCUUUUAGUACUUAAGUACAGUAGUGAAGUAGUUCUACUUCGUUACUAUACAUCUCUGGGCCCGACAUGUGUUGUAAUACCAGUUUCGGCCAUGGGAGGCGGUAUGCAGGCAACAUAACCACCAGCCAACCUGCAAUACACGAAUAACUUGCACGGCU